GGUUAAGCGACUAAGCGUACACGGUGGAUGCCCUGGCAGUCAGAGGCGAUGAAGGACGUGCUAAUCUGCGAAAAGCGCCGGCGAGGUGAUAUGAACCUUUGACCCGGCGAUGUCCGAAUGGGGAAACCCAGUGUGAUUCGUCACACUAUCGUUAACUGAAUACAUAGGUUAACGAGGCGAACCGGGGGAACUGAAACAUCUAAGUACCCCGAGGAAAAGAAAUCAACCGAGAUUCCCCCAGUAGCGGCGAGCGAACGGGGAGCAGCCCAGAGUCUGAAUCAGCUUGUGUGUUAGUGGAAGCGUCUGGAAAGUCGCACGGUACAGGGUGACAGUCCCGUACACGAAAAUGCACAGGUUGUGAACUCGAAGAGUAGGGCGGGACACGUGGUAUCCUGUCUGAAUAUGGGGGGACCAUCCUCCAAGGCUAAAUACUCCUGACUGACCGAUAGUGAACCAGUACCGUGAGGGAAAGGCGAAAAGAACCCCGGCGAGGGGAGUGAAAUAGAACCUGAAACCGUGUACGUACAAGCAGUGGGAGCACCUUCGUGGUGUGACUGCGUACCUUUUGUAUAAUGGGUCAGCGACUUAUAUUCUGUAGCAAGGUUAACCGUAUAGGGGAGCCGAAGGGAAACCGAGUCUUAACUGGGCGUUAAGUUGCAGGGUAUAGACCCGAAACCCGGUGAUCUAGCCAUGGGCAGGUUGAAGGUUGGGUAACACUAACUGGAGGACCGAACCGACUAAUGUUGAAAAAUUAGCGGAUGACUUGUGGCUGGGGGUGAAAGGCCAAUCAAACCGGGAGAUAGCUGGUUCUCCCCGAAAGCUAUUUAGGUAGCGCCUCGUGAACUCAUCUUCGGGGGUAGAGCACUGUUUCGGCUAGGGGGCCAUCCCGGCUUACCAACCCGAUGCAAACUACGAAUACCGAAGAAUGUUAUCACGGGAGACACACGGCGGGUGCUAACGUCCGUCGUGAAGAGGGAAACAACCCAGACCGCCAGCUAAGGUCCCAAAGUCAUGGUUAAGUGGGAAACGAUGUGGGAAGGCACAGACAGCCAGGAUGUUGGCUUAGAAGCAGCCAUCAUUUAAAGAAAGCGUAAUAGCUCACUGGUCGAGUCGGCCUGCGCGGAAGAUGUAACGGGGCUAAACCAUGCACCGAAGCUGCGGCAGCGACGCUUAUGCGUUGUUGGGUAGGGGAGCGUUCUGUAAGCCGUUGAAGGUGGCCUGUGAGGGUUGCUGGAGGUAUCAGAAGUGCGAAUGCUGACAUAAGUAACGAUAAAGCGGGUGAAAAGCCCGCUCGCCGGAAGACCAAGGGUUCCUGUCCAACGUUAAUCGGGGCAGGGUGAGUCGACCCCUAAGGCGAGGCCGAAAGGCGUAGUCGAUGGGAAACAGGUUAAUAUUCCUGUACUUGGUGUUACUGCGAAGGGGGGACGGAGAAGGCUAUGUUAGCCGGGCGACGGUUGUCCCGGUUUAAGCAUGUAGGCGGAACGAUUAGGUAAAUCCGGUCGUUUUUUAACGCUGAGGUGUGAUGACGAGGCACUACGGUGCUGAAGUAACAAAUGCCCUGCUUCCAGGAAAAGCCUCUAAGCAUCAGGUAACAUCAAAUCGUACCCCAAACCGACACAGGUGGUCAGGUAGAGAAUACCAAGGCGCUUGAGAGAACUCGGGUGAAGGAACUAGGCAAAAUGGUGCCGUAACUUCGGGAGAAGGCACGCUGAUAUGUAGGUGAAGCCCCUGCGGGUGGAGCUGAAAUCAGUCGAAGAUACCAGCUGGCUGCAACUGUUUAUUAAAAACACAGCACUGUGCAAACACGAAAGUGGACGUAUACGGUGUGACGCCUGCCCGGUGCCGGAAGGUUAAUUGAUGGGGUUAGCGGCAACGCGAAGCUCUUGAUCGAAGCCCCGGUAAACGGCGGCCGUAACUAUAACGGUCCUAAGGUAGCGAAAUUCCUUGUCGGGUAAGUUCCGACCUGCACGAAUGGCGUAAUGAUGGCCAGGCUGUCUCCACCCGAGACUCAGUGAAAUUGAACUCGCUGUGAAGAUGCAGUGUACCCGCGGCAAGACGGAAAGACCCCGUGAACCUUUACUAUAGCUUGACACUGAACACUGGUCCUUGAUGUGUAGGAUAGGUGGGAGGCUUUGAAGCGUGGACGCCAGUCUGCGUGGAGCCGUCCUUGAAAUACCACCCUUUAAUGGCUGGUGUUCUAACGUAGACCCGUAAUCCGGGUUGCGGACAGUGUCUGGUGGGUAGUUUGACUGGGGCGGUCUCCUCCCAAAGAGUAACGGAGGAGCACGAAGGUUAGCUAAUCCUGGUCGGACAUCAGGAGGUUAGUGCAAUGGCAUAAGCUAGCUUGACUGCGAGAGUGACGGCUCGAGCAGGUGCGAAAGCAGGUCAUAGUGAUCCGGUGGUUCUGAAUGGAAGGGCCAUCGCUCAACGGAUAAAAGGUACUCCGGGGAUAACAGGCUGAUACCGCCCAAGAGUUCAUAUCGACGGCGGUGUUUGGCACCUCGAUGUCGGCUCAUCACAUCCUGGGGCUGAAGUAGGUCCCAAGGGUAUGGCUGUUCGCCAUUUAAAGUGGUACGCGAGCUGGGUUUAGAACGUCGUGAGACAGUUCGGUCCCUAUCUGCCGUGGGCGCUGGAGAAUUGAGGGGGGCUGCUCCUAGUACGAGAGGACCGGAGUGGACGCAUCACUGGUGUUCGGGUUGUCAUGCCAAUGGCACUGCCCGGUAGCUAAAUGCGGAAAAGAUAAGUGCUGAAAGCAUCUAAGCACGAAACUUGCCCCGAGAUGAGUUCUCCCUGAGACUUUAAGUCUCCUGAAGGAACGUUGAAGACGACGACGUUGAUAGGUCGGGUGUGUAAGCGCAGCGAUGCGUUGAGCUAACCGAUACUAAUGAACCGUGAGGCUUAACCUU
rnacentral:rRNA from 1 species